AUGAACGCUGGCGGCGUGCCUCAUACAUGCAAGUCGAGCGAACAGACGAGGAGCUUGCUCCUCUGACGUUAGCGGCGGACGGGUGAGUAACACGUGGAUAACCUACCUAUAAGACUGGGAUAACUUCGGGAAACCGGAGCUAAUACCGGAUAAUAUAUUGAACCGCAUGGUUCAAUAGUAAAAGACGGUUUUGCUGUCACUUAUAGAUGGAUCCGCGCCGCAUUAGCUAGUUGGUAAGGUAACGGCUUACCAAGGCAACGAUGCGUAGCCGACCUGAGAGGGUGAUCGGCCACACUGGAACUGAGACACGGUCCAGACUCCUACGGGAGGCAGCAGUAGGGAAUCUUCCGCAAUGGGCGAAAGCCUGACGGAGCAACGCCGCGUGAGUGAUGAAGGUCUUCGGAUCGUAAAACUCUGUUAUUAGGGAAGAACAAAUGUGUAAGUAACUAUGCACGUCUUGACGGUACCUAAUCAGAAAGCCACGGCUAACUACGUG
rnacentral:rRNA from 1 species